UCUCCUACGGGGGGCAGCAGUGGGGAAUAUUGCACAAUGGGGGAAACCCUGAUGCAGCGACGCCGCGUGAGUGAAGAAGUAUUUCGGUAUGUAAAGCUCUAUCAGCAGGGAAGAAACCCACCCUUUGGGGUGGCUGACGGUACCUGACUAAGAAGCCCCGGCUAACUACGUGCCAGCAGCCGCGGUAAUACGUAGGGGGCAAGCGUUAUCCGGAUUUACUAGGUGUAAAGGGAGCGUAGGUGGCAUGGUAAGCCAGAAGUGAAAACCCGAGGCUCAACCCCGCGGAUUGCUUUU
rnacentral:rRNA from 1 species